rnacentral:lncRNA from 1 species
UCCUCGUCCGCUGGUCGUCCAAAGCAUCGCUAGAAUGCGCUUCGAAGCCGUAUCCACACUUUUGCCUGAUGGCUUCUACCUCGGCUACUACUUCUCCAGGCAAGUGCUUUCGUAAAACUUCCGAGGACAGACCUGACUUUGCUACUAGUUUGGAGCAGACUGACCAGAGAUGGAGCAAGUCCUGCUUCCUCGCCGCUGCAAGUAUCCGCAUUACGUCUUCAAUCGAUGCUUUCUCAGCAAUUCCGGCCAGCUCCCUCUACAGGUACACAGAAAAGUUCCUGUUAAGUUUCUCCUCUUUGGAGUAACUCUCUCUCUCUCUCUCUCUCUCUCUCUCUCUCUCUCUCUCGGUUUUUUUUCCUUUCCUUCUUCAGUGAUCGAGUGCAAACCUGGACUAAGAUGGAGAGCUGCUCGAUGCUGAAGACUUGAGCAGCAUGCAAUGCCUCGAGAGCAAAAUCCACCGCUGAUCUGC